ensembl:lincRNA
CACGCAUACACAUAAAAUAAAAAUAAUUUUUUAAAAAAAUUUAAAAAAUAAAUAAAGAUAUGUUUGUCCUAUUGAAAAAAAGAAUCAGAAUACUGGAGCCAGGUGUUGUGGCACACACCUUAAAUUCCAGCACUUGGGAGCGGGGAGGCAGGUGAAUCUCUGUGAGACCAAGGCCAACCUGGUGUACAUAAUACAUUCCAGGCCAGCUGGAGCUACAGGAAGACCCUAUAUCAAAAAAGGGGGUGAGGCUUGAGAGAUGGCUUAGCUCUAAAGAGCAUGUACUGCUGUAGCAGAGGAUCCAAGUUUGUUUCCCAGCACCCACAUCAGGCAGCUUACAACUACCUUUAGUUCUAGGUGAUCCAACACAUUCCUCUGGCCUCUGCAGAAGCCUACACUCACAGGGACACACACACACACACACACACACACACACACACACACACCACCCCAUUUAAAUAAAGUAAAUACUUAAAAAAAGAAUCAGAAAGCUGAGCAUGGUGGUGCAUGCCUUUAAUCCCAGCCCUCAAGAGGCAGAGGCAGGCGGAUCUCUGUGAGUUUGAGGCCAGCCUGGUCUACCUAGUGAGUUUCAGGCUAGCUGUCUCACAAAGACCAAAAGAAAAAAAAAAAAGAAUCAGAAUAUCAAUAACUUGAGAUGUAUGUAUGAGACUAGUAGUAAACAUCUUAAAUGCAAUUAAAUAAUAAUAAAUUAUGCUUAGAGGAAUUAAUGGAUAGUUUUCUCCUCCUUAGAAGAAGUCAGAAGCUUGUUUGGAGUUCCAAGUUCAGAAUUCUACCCUGGUUCGCCUCAUAUUGGACCCUGAGUUCCUGGCAGAUGGGCUUCCAUGACAUGCUCCAGGGUCAGAAGAAGCGAAAGAGAAAGAAUUCUGGUGACAAGAAUAAAAAGGUGGGUCCCAUUCCAACACAGGCUGUCAUGUGUGCAUUCACAGUUCUUAGCAGCUGUUCAACCUUUCUUCAUGGUAUAUUGAUGUGGUUAUAGAUGGAAGGUCCAAGGAAGAUUUCAGCCUCAGAUUACUAUUAUUUUUUUUUCUUCUUUGGAAAAAAAAAGCACAGCCCAUUUUGAGUAAGACAUUGAAAUGGGGAAGCCAGGUGUGGGGACAUAUAUCUUCAGGCCCUAACUGUUCCAGUGACUGAGGCAGGAGGAAUGCUAGAACCCAAGAGUUCAUGGUCAGUUUGGGCAACUAAUAAGUCCGCUCAAAAUAGAAUAAAAUAAAAAGUAAUGUUACCCUCUUAUGGAGACUGUUGCUUGCUAGGUUGACCCAUAUGAAAUUUCUUUUUUGUUGGUCAAGAACAGUGAAAUAUUGGCUAUUCAUUUGGUUCAAACUCAUACUUUUCCAUCAGUAGGAUGGUAGAGAGGAAUCCCCAGAAGCACAUAUUAACCAUUUAUGUUCCUUUUCAUCCUUUGGUGCUCUUUUUAGAAUUAUUUUAACAGUAGGGAGCUGCCAUCUGACAUUGUACUGAAAGAGAAAGCUACCCUAGCAAAGUUCCACUUUGCCCCAACUUCAGGACAUGCUGUCUUGAGAUACAGGACAAUUAAGAUGACUUUUGAAGGCCAGGUGUAGUGGUUCAUGUCUAUGAUCUAUUUGGGAGACAGAGGCAGAAGAUGAAGAGUUCAAAGCCAGCUAGUACUACAUGAGAUCCUGCCUCCAAAAACAAACCAAAACAAAAACAAACAGAAGAGAAAAAAAUGACUUUUUAGUACCCUUUUUUCAUUAUUAAUAAAAGAAGAAAAGUCUCUGGGCUAGCUCAGCCAUCCCUGACCAA